UACGGAGGAUGCGAGCGUUGUUCGGAAUCACUGGGCUUAAAGCGCAUGCAGGCGGAACGGAAGGUGCUUUGUGAAAUCCCUCGGCUCAACCGAGGAAUGGCUGGGCAAACCGCCGUUCUUGAGGCAGGUAGAGGCGACUGGAACCUUUGGUGGAGAGGUGAAAUUCGUAGAUAUCAAAGGGAACGCCGGUGGCGAAAGCGGGUCGCUGGGCCUGUCCUGACGCUCAUAUGCGAAAGCGUAGGUAGCGAACGGG
rnacentral:rRNA from 1 species